rnacentral:rRNA from 1 species
UUUAACGGCCGCGGUAUUUUAACCGUGCAAAGGUAGCGCAAUCACCUGUCUUUUAAAUAAAGACCCGUAUGAAUGGCAAGACGAAGGCCCAACUGUCUCCUCACCCUAGUCAAUGAAACUGAUCUCCCCGUGCAGAAGCGGGACUACCACCAUAAGACGAGAAGACCCCAUGAAGCUUUAGACGCCAAGCGCCCCUCCCAAUUACCCUCCCCCAAAAAAUAAAACAGGCCCACCCACCCGUCUUUGGUUGGGGCGACCAGGGGGGAAAUAAGCCCCCCCGAGGACUGGGGGUACCGCCCUUACAACCAAGACCUGCAAUUCUAGGACACAGAACCUCUGACCAAAACGAUCCGACUAACCGAUCAUCGAACCAAGUUACCCUGGGGAUAACAGCGCAAUCC